rnacentral:rRNA from 1 species
GACGAAGGGGGCUAGCGUUGUUCGGAAUUACUGGGCGUAAAGCGCGUGUAGGCGGUUGCCCAAGUCGGGUGUGAAAGCCUUGAGCUCAACUCAAGAAAUGCACUCGGUACUGGGUGACUAGAGGACCGGAGAGGAUAGUGGAAUUCCCGGUGUAGUGGUGAAAUGCGUAGAUAUCGGGAGGAACACCAGUGGCGAAGGCGACUACCUGGCCUGUUCUUGACGCUGAGGCGCGAAAGCUAGGGGAGCAAACGGG